GCUUCCAUGCAGUCGAGCGGCAGCACGGGGUACUUGCUCCCUGGUGGCGAGCGGCGGACGGGUGAGUAAUGCAUAGGAAUCUGCCCGGUAGUGGGGGAUAACGUGGGGAACCCACGCUAAUACCGCAUACGUCCUACGGGAGAAAGCGGAGGCUCUUCGGACUUCGCGCUAUCGGAUGAGCCUAUGUCGGAUUAGCUAGUUGGUAAGGUAACGGCUUACCAAGGCGACGAUCCGUAGCUGGUCUGAGAGGAUGAUCAGCCACACUGGGACUGAGACACGGCCCAGACUCCUACGGGAGGCAGCAGUGGGGAAUAUUGGACAAUGGGCGAAAGCCUGAUCCAGCCAUGCCGCGUGUGUGAAGAAGGCUUUCGGGUUGUAAAGCACUUUCAGCGAGGAAGAAAGCCUUUGGGUUAAUACCCCAGAGGAAGGACAUCACUCGCAGAAGAAGCACCGGCUAACUCCGUGCCAGCAGCCGCGGUAAUACGGAGGGUGCGAGCGUUAAUCGGAAUUACUGGGCGUAAAGCGCGCGUAGGUGGCUUGGCACGCCGGUUGUGAAAGCCCCGGGCUCAACCUGGGAACGGCAUCCGGAACGGCCAGGCUAGAGUGCAGGAGAGGAAGGUAGAAUUCCCGGUGUAGCGGUGAAAUGCGUAGAGAUCGGGAGGAAUACCAGUGGCGAAGGCGGCCUUCUGGCCUGACACUGGACACUGAGGUGCGAAAGCGUGGGUAGCAAACAGGAUUAGAUACCCUGGUAGUCCAC
rnacentral:rRNA from 1 species